ensembl:lncRNA
UUAAGUAACAGCCAACAAAAAAAAAUGUACGGUGCUGAAAAAAUAAGUAUGUUUUUAAAGAAAACAAAAGUGAAAAAGGGGGUAGAGGUCAUAGAUUUCUUCCCCGAUCUUAACUUGUUUUAUAUUUCUGCCAGACACCAUAUGAGCCGGAGGGAAGAGUCCGGCCUCACUGAGCAGGAGGGCUACAGAUUAAAGAAGCUCCUAGGGAAAGUACGCAGAGCAAUCAACAAGGGCAAUGUCGAAAUCUCCAAUGUGUGUUUUAAUUAAUUUAUUGGUUUUUAUUUUUGGUGCAAACUUACUCACAAUGAAUUUUUUUAAAGUGGGAAGUUUAAAUGUGAACGGAGCCAGAGAUGAGAAGAAGAGAGCAUCUAUUUAUGAAUUAAAAAAAUUGAAGUGUAUUGAUGUUCUCUUCUUACAAGAAACUCACAGCGACAGCACCAACGAGGCCGACUGGAUGAGGGAGUGGGAAGGGGAAGUCCUCCUAAGCCACAAUACCAACCUCAGUGGAGGAGUGGGCUUCCUCUUCUCCAGAGCAAGGCUGGACAUCAGCAGCAGUGGUACCCCAGGCCUGAUGGGGGCGCUGCUGAAAGCACGAGUCCUGUGCCUGCAGCAGCUGGUGGACGCAGUGGGGCCGACGCUGAGCGACGCCCCGGCCCUGGGCUCUCUGCUGGGGCUGCACUCCGUCCGGAUGGCGAGGAGGCUCCUGGAGCUGUGGAACCAGAGGCUGACUGAGGAGGAAAGGAGCCUCCUCGCAGACUACAGCCAGAAAGAUGUGGAGCUGGACCCUGGAGACCCCUUCCCUGAGAUCUACCUGAGCCCAGGACUAGGGGAACUCACCGGCCCCCUGCUCGCCACAACACGCCCGAAGCGCUGACAUUGCACGAAGCAGACAAGAAGACUCUGUAUUUUAACUGUGUGAAGAGCAUAAACCGGUCCGGACUGUGCGACAGGCUCCCCACUGUGUGGUCCAACAGACUGGGACAAAAUGGACCGGGCCCACAGUGGAGGAUUUUAUACAAACCUCCCCUCAAGAAACGGACUGCCGACCUCCAGUGGAGAAUUUUACACGGUGCUGUCGCCUCCAACGCUUUUAUUUCUGUUAUUAAUCCCACUGUUCUGAGCAAAUGCCCCUUCUGUGACCUCCGAGAGACUAUUUAUCAUGUUUUUACAGAGUGCAAGAGACUUGCGAGUUUCUUCUCUCUUUUAACAUCGGUUUUUAGUCUUUUUAAUGUGGUUUUUACUGAAAAGAUUUUUAUCAUGGGAGCUGCCUACAAAAAAGCAGAAAAAGAAAAAUGGCAGCUCCUCAACUAUCUUUCAGGGGAAGCCAAAAUGGCCAUUUAUCUAAGCAGGAAGGCCAGAGUGAAGGACAGAGAGGGGCAGGAGGCCAGAGCAGUGUGGCUGGUGAACAUCAGGGCCAGGCUCUGGCUAGAGUUCCGCUUUUAUAAACACAUUGGAGACGUAGACACUUUUAAACAACGUUGGUGUUUUAAUAAUGUUGUGUGCUCAGUGGAAAAGAAUGAAUUGGUGUUUGCUCCUGUUUUUAUGGCAUGAAAUAUAAUUUUGCUUUGUUUGUUUUGUUUUGGUUUUUUUGUUGCUUUGUCUUGGUUUUUUUAACAAAGGAAGGAAAUCUGUGACCUUUUUUAACACAUUGACAAGUUGUU